GACGAACCGUGCGAACGUUGUUCGGAAUCACUGGGCUUAAAGGGCGCGUAGGCGGCUUCGCAAGUCCGGGGUGAAAGCCCCCAGCUUAACUGGGGAAGUGCCUCGGAUACUGCGGAGCUCGAGGGAGGUAGGGGCGGAUGGAACUUCCGGUGGAGCGGUGAAAUGCGUUGAUAUCGGAAGGAACGCCGGUUGCGAAAGCGAUCCGCUGGCCCUCUACUGACGCUGAGGCGCGAAAGCCAGGGGAGCAAACGGG
rnacentral:rRNA from 1 species